rnacentral:rRNA from 1 species
UACGUAGGGGGCAAGCGUUGUCCGGAUUUAUUGGGCGUAAAGAGCGUGUAGGCGGCUAGGUAGGUCCGUUGUGAAAACUCGAGGCUCAACCUCGAGACGUCGAUGGAAACCAUCUAGCUAGAGUCCGGAAGAGGAGAGUGGAAUUCCUGGUGUAGCGGUGAAAUGCGCAGAUAUCAGGAAGAACACCCGUGGCGAAGGCGGCUCUCUGGUACGUGACUGACGCUGAGGAGCGAAAGCGUGGGGAGCGAACGGG